UCAUUGCCUUUUUGGUAACCUGUUCCCUUACGUUCUGUUCUUUUUUUUCCCCCUCUCCAUAUAUAUCCUCUGCACCUUCAACAUCAUCCAGUUUCGACAAAGAGAUAACCGCUGUUCGAUACACCUCUUCGCACUUCUUAAAGUCAUCCCAAAGAGUUUGCAGCAACUCUCUUGCAUUCCAUACCACGUUACCAUAUAUCUCUAAACAAACUCUAACGUAAACCUUUGCCAUUUCAACUAUCCUGUCUCUCUCCAGUUUGAUUCCUUCUUCAUCAACCCACAUUCUCAUAAACAUCUUUAUCGCCUUUACAUCGGCCUUCAAAACAGUGUUUGCAGUGACAUUGUCGGGUUUCACAUCGUCAGAUCUCGCGUAAGAGGUUAAGAGCGUGGAGUAAUCAAUCAUGUUUGAAGGGAUACUUUUGAAGAACUUGUCUGCUUCUUCUAAACC